GACUGAUUUAUUGAAUAGCCACUUGGAAACUCACCAAGCUCUUUCAUUAUUUGCCACGCAAGCCAGGUCGUGAGCUUUGGCAAGGCAAGUCAGUCUGCCAGAAGCCGUAUUGUCUGGGACUUCCCAUGCCUGUGGAAAGGAACCGUGAGUAGGACCUGGAAAUUCGCAAGCUCUGGGGUAAAGACACCUGAAUAAAGGAUGAUGGGCCCAGGGAGGAAGCAGCCCUACUGUGUUGCAGGCACUGGCCAGCACUGAGGAUGCAGGAGUGCACAUACCAUCCCAGCCUUUGUGGAACUUACAGUCCAUGGGGAAGACAAAUAUUCCAGGAAGAAUCGCAUGAUGACAGUUGUGAUCACUGACACAGGGGAAAAGCACAGGCUAUGGGGGUGGGUGUCUCAUGGGGUCCUAACUUUGUGUGUUGGUGGAGGAAGAUUAGGGGAAGCUUGCACGGGAAAGCGAUAUUUAAGCUGGAACUAAAGGAUAGUAGGAAUUAGUAGUUUCUAAUUAGCCAGAAGUCAGAUGCACAGGGACACUCAGAUCAUAGUAAGGAGGAAUGGGUAGCCACGGAAGGGUUCAAGGGGAGGGGGUGGGGUAGAGCUCACCUAUCAGAUUUGUCCUUCAAAACGAUCAUCCUGCGUAUACCCAGUCUGGCACUAAAGAUUAGAGAUGCUAAGGUGACUACGAUACCACGUCAGCCCUCAGGAGCUCAGAAACCACUAUGGAAUACAGAUGAAAACACAGUACAGUGUGAUGCGUGAACUAUCUCAAUCAUUCUCAUACCUUAGCGUGCAUCAGAGCCCUCUGUGGGCUUAUCAAAAUCUAGACCUCUGGGCCCCACCCCCAGAGUUCUGAUUUCAUACUUUGGGAGUGAGGCCUGAGAAUGUGCAUUUAUAACAAGUUUCCGGGUGACACUGAUGCUUCCAGUCUGGGGACCACACUUUGACAGCCCUAGAAGGAAUCGAAUCACAUGCAUGGAGUUCAUUCUGAGUGGUGGGGGAGGAAAGCAUUUUGGAAGAAUCAAAGCCUGAGCAGAGUUUUGAGGGAUGAAUAGGAGUUCAUUAGACAGACAAGGCAAAAGAAAGGCUACCCUAGGUAUGGGAAAAAGCAUGAACAAAGAAGCCAGAAGUAGCUUGGUGGGUCCGCAGGUGAGAAAGAUGAGCUGGCAAAUCCCAAGCAAGCGCGGCAAACGGGAUAACAGAGGAGGAGCUGCUGCUCUCCCCAAGGGAACUAUCACCGACUAUACCCUCUCUGCUCAGCAGGCAUCCAUCGCACGAAGGACCAAGCAUUUCCGGAACCCCAGGCCCCAGCAGAGAGAGGGGCUGGCUGUGGAACGCCUGGGUCUCUCCUGCUCCACGUCUCACGUGCGGCAAGCUGCAGCUGCACACCAUUUUUCUUUUCCUCCCAGAACAAAUUACAGGUCUUUUUUUUUUUUCUCAAGUGGCUUAGCUGAGGCCCAUAGAGCAGGUUUCUGUACUGAAUGAGGCUCUUGACUCUGCCAGCCUGGGAGAAAUUAGGUCGGUUUAAUCACCGGUGAUGUCAUAAAAGCAGCUUUCUUAAUGGGAGUGCUGAUUGGAGGGGGGGGUAGAGACGGGUGCUGAGGUCACCUCUGAGCAGAACUGCACAGGCUGCUGAGGACGGCUCUGGAGAAAGGCAGAUCCACGGGCAGUGGCUGCCCAAAGCCUUUGAAGUUUCAUUUACAGUGUUUUACAACCAUAUGCAGGGAGUAAAUUGUCCCUGCAGGCUGCUGCACUUUGCCCUCCCCUCCAAGGGGCGGUGGAAGUCACACUAAUAGUAUCUGUCACAAGAUAAGGGCACAGGAUCAGAGAGCAAGGAGGAGACAGAGUUGGCCUGUCCGUGACCUUGUAGUGGGGAGCUCUGUGGCCCUCUGCUAAGUUUCUCAGGGCUCUCUGCUGUCUUGGCGUGUGUCCCUCAGCAGCUCAGCCACCCUCUCAGGGUCCCGCCUCCUCAGUGUCUGAAGUCUUAGCAAGACGAGGAGGAAGGCAUUUUAUGUUUCCAGCAGUGGCACUGAGUUCGUGCAAAAUCAGAAUUGAGGUGGAGCAGAUUUGUUGAGGAGGUGUUUGCUUCUGUGGUUUCAAGCAGUCGUUUCCAAACGCGUGGACGUCCACCCUUUGUCGAAAAGCACCCAGGUGAGGCUGAUGAGCCACGGGAUUUUGAAAGCCUUUGCUUGGAGGUUUAAAUGGAGAAGAGACCUUGAUGAGAUGGUGGUCUCAGGAGUGCCCACAGCUUGCUGCUCGAGGACCCCCACCAAUCAAUAGCAUCAGCUGGUGGGAGCAUA
rnacentral:lncRNA from 1 species